rnacentral:rRNA from 1 species
UACAGAGGGUGCGAGCGUUAAUCGGAAUUACUGGGCGUAAAGCGCGCGUAGGCGGCUUUGCAAGUCGGGUGUGAAAUCCCCAGGCUUAACCUGGGAACUGCAUUCGAGACUGCAUUGCUAGAGUAUGGGAGAGGGAAGUGGAAUUUCCGGUGUAGCGGUGAAAUGCGUAGAUAUCGGAAGGAACAUCAGUGGCGAAGGCGGCCUUCUGGACGGUGACUGACGCUGAGAUGCGAAAGCGUGGGGAGCAAACAGG